CUUCUGAUGAUGAUACCUUUGUCCAGUUCUGCUGCUGAAGGGACAGCGAUGACAACUUACAAAGCUGAAGACG
rfam:Alligator sinensis unplaced genomic scaffold scaffold781_1, whole genome shotgun sequence